rnacentral:rRNA from 2 species
CAAGUUUCCGUAGGUGAACCUGCGGAAGGAUCAUUG